rnacentral:rRNA from 1 species
GAUGAACGCUGGCGGCGUGCCUAAUACAUGCAAGUCGAGCGAACAGACGAGGAGCUUGCUCCUCACACGUUAGCGGCGGACGGGUGAGUAACACGUGAAUAACCUACCUAUAAGACUGGGAUAGCUUCGGGAAACCGGAGCUCAUACCGGAUAAUAUAUUGAAAUGAAUGGUUCCAUGAUGAAAGACGGUUAUGCUGACACUUAUAGAUGGAUCCGCGCCGCAUUAGCUAGUUGGUAAGAAAACGGUUUACGAAGGCAACGAUGCUAAGCCGACUUGAGAGGUGGACCGCCAACACUGGAAUGGGAACACGGUCCAAAUCCCUAGGGGAGGCAGCAUAAGGAAAUUUCCGGCAAGGGGCGAAGGCCUGACGGGGAAACGCCGGGUGGGGGAGGAAGUUUUUCGGAUCUUAAGACUUUUUUAUUAGGGAAGAACAAUUGUGUAAGUAACUAUGCACGUCUUGACGGUACCUAAUCAGAAAGCCACGGCUAACUACGUG